UAUAAUGUUUAACUCUGCGUUUUAUUCAAAACUUUUUUACGAUUAAUAAUUUUGUUUUUAUUAGAUGAUAAAUCAUGAAUAGUACUUUAUGUGUGACUAGCUUUUUUUAUUUUCUUUAAAAAUUUAAAUAAGACGGAUAAUUAAACGUCGGACAGAAAACCA
rnacentral:pre_miRNA from 1 species